UACUGUCUCCUUUUUCCAAUCAGUGAAACUAAUCUCCCCGUGAAGAAGCGGGGAUAAAUCUAUAAGACGAGAAGACCCCAUGGAGCUUCAAACCAGCUUCAACCCUACCCCCCCCACACCCUUUCAACCCCGGGGCCCUGUGUAUCUGGUUUUCGGUUGGGGCGACCACGGAGCAUAAAAAAACCUCCAUGAUGAACGAGCCUACCCUCUUACCUGAGAAUUACACCUCAAAGAACUAGUAUACUAACAUAAAAUGAUCCAAUAAUUGAUCAACGAACCAAGUUACCCUGGGGAUAACAGCGCAAUCCAUUUCAAGAGCUCCUAUCGACAAGUGGG
rnacentral:rRNA from 1 species